rnacentral:rRNA from 1 species
UACGGGGGGGGCAAGCGUUGUUCGGAAUUACUGGGCGUAAAGGGCGCGUAGGCGGGUCGGAAAGUCCGCGGUGAAAUCCCCCCGCUCAACGGGGGAACGGCCGCGGAUACUGCCGGCCUCGAGGGGGGUAGGGGCGAGCGGAACGCUGGGUGGAGCGGUGAAAUGCGUUGAUAUCCAGCGGAACUCCGGUGGCGAAGGCGGCUCGCUGGACCCCCACUGACGCUGAGGCGCGAAAGCCAGGGGAGCGAACGGG